CUGGAAGCUUACUUCAUUUCAGAAGUUGGAUUUCACUGUAUCAGAUAUAUUGUCAGGGUUAACAGAAAACAAUAUGAUUGGGUGUGGAGGAUCAGGAAAAGUAUACCGUGUGNCUAUCAGGCCUUGUUGUUGCUGUGAAAAGAAUUUGCAAUGACAAGAAGUUAGACCAAAAGCUUGAGAAAGAGUUCCAUGCGGAAGUUCAGAUACUGGGUAGAAUAAGGCAUUUGAAUAUAGUGAAGCUGCUUUGCUGUAUUUGCAAUGACGAUUCAAAACUUCUUGUCUAUGAGUAUAUGGAGAAGCGAAGCCUGGAUCAAUGGCUGCAUGCGAAGAAGAGAUCAACAGGGGUGGACUUAGACUGGCCUAUGAGGUUCCGGAUUGCAGUGGGAGCCGCCCAGGGCCUUUCCUACCUGCACCGUGACUGCUCACCCCCCAUUAUUCAUCGAGAUGUCAAAUCAAGCAAUAUCCUGUUAGAUUCUGCUUUCAAUGCAAAAAUUGCUGAUUUUGG
rnacentral:misc_RNA from 1 species